GGCGGCGUGCCUAACACAUGCAAGUCGAGCGAGAAAGUUCCUUCGGGAAUGAGUACAGCGGCGGACGGGUGAGUAACACGUAAGAAUCUGCCCUAUAGUGAAGAAUACCUCNGAGAAAUUGAAGUUAAUGCUGCAUGAGUCCCUUUGGGGAGAAAGACGUCUUUUAUGUCGUCGCUAUAGGAUGAGCUUGCGGACUAUCAGCUUGUUGGUGAGGUAAAGGCUCACCAAGGCUAUGACGGUUAACCGGCCUGAGAGGGUGUACGGUCACACAGGCACUGAGAUACGGGCCUGACUCCUACGGGAGGCAGCAGUGGGGAAUAUUGCGCAAUGGGCGAAAGCCUGACGCAGCGACGCCGCGUGGAGGACGAAGGCCUUAGGGUCGUAAACUCCUGUCAGGUGGGAAGAAAAGAUCUGUUUCUAAUAAAUACAGAUUAUGACGGUACCAUCAGAGGAAGCACCGGCUAACUUCGUGCCAGCAGCCGCGGUAAUACNAAGGGUGCGAGCGUUAUUCGGAAUCACUGGGCGUAAA
rnacentral:rRNA from 1 species